UGUCAGCCUCUCCGGCUGUGGCUUUAAGUCCCAGGGCCAGUGCUGGGCUCCCCGCCUGUGUCUGUGGCCUCAGGCCCUUGGCUGCUUCUGGCCUCUCUAGCUGAGGCUGUGGCUUUAAGCCCCUGGACUGGUUCCAGCCUUUCAGGCUGUGGUUUUGGUCCCCAGGAUUGGUACCAAAUUUGAAGAAACCAACAGGAGGCUCACCCAAUGGGGUUCUGUGAAGCACCAGAAGAGAGAAAUACACACGAUUGUUGUGUAGCCAGGCUGGGUCACCCUCUCGCUGAGGCACUGCAUGACUGGAAGCAGGAGACGUUUCUCCCAGGCUGCAUCCAGACUGGGGUCGUUGGAGACAAUGGGUCUAUGGGGUCUAUGGGGACAUUGGAGUCAAUGGGGUCAUAGGGGUCUAGGGGGUCAUUGGGUUCAAUAUGGUUACUUGGGUCAGUAGGGGUCACUGGGGUCAGUGGGGGUCAUUGGGGACAUUGGUGUCAAUGAAGUCAUUGGGAUCAAUGGGGUCAAUGGAGUGAAUGGGGAUAAUGGGGUCAGUGGGGGUUAUUGGAGACAAAUGGGUCAUUGGAGUUACUAGGGUCAUUGAGGCCAUUGGGGGUCACUGGGGUUAAUGGGGUCUGUGGUGUCAAUGGGGUUACUGGGGUCAAUGGGGUCAUGUGGGGUUAAUGGGGUCAGUGGGGUAAAUGUGUUGUUGGGGUCAUAUGGGGUCAUGGGUAUCAUUAGAAACUUUGGGAUCGGUGGGGUCAGUGGGGUCAUGCAGGGUCAUUGGGGUCAAUGGGGCCAUGUGGGAUUAUUGGGAUCAUUGGGGUCAGUGGGGUUAUGGAGUUCAUGUAAGGUCACUGGGGUCACUGGGUCAAAGGCGUCAGUGGGGUCAGUGGGGUCAAU
ensembl:lncRNA